rnacentral:rRNA from 1 species
AGUGAACGCUGGCGGUAGGCCUAACACAUGCAAGUCGAACGGCAGCACAGUAAGAGCUUGCUCUUACGGGUGGCGAGUGGCGGACGGGUGAGGUAUACAUCGGAAUCUACUUUUUCGGGGGGGUUAACGUAGGGAAAGUUACGCUAAUACCGCAUACGACCUACGGGUGAAUGCAGGGGAUCUUCGCACCUUGCGCGAUAGCAUGAGCAGAUGUCGGAUUAGCUAGUUGGCGGGGUAAAGGCCCACCAAGGCGACGAUCCGUAGCUGGUCUGAGAGGAUGAUCGGCCACACGGGAACGGAGAAACGGUCCAGACUCCUACGGGAGGCAGCAGAGGGGAAUAUUGGACAAUGGGGGCAGGCUGGACGCGGCCAGACGGGGUGGGGAAGAAAGGCCUCGGGUUGGUAAAGUCCGUUGGUUGGGAAGGAAGAGCGUCAGGGUAGAACGUUGACGUUGUGACGGUACCUAAAGAGAAAGCACCGGCUAACUACGUG